CUCAUUUCACAAAAUGCACACAGCCUCCCUCCCUUUCACACAUCGCCACCGCCGCCGCCAGCCUCCCUCCGGUGCCGUCGUCGCGCCACCGCCACUUCCGGCGGUGGUCCUUCUUCCUCCUCCUCUCUUUCUCCCUUCUCUCCCUCGGUUCCUCUCUUCACCGCCGGCAUGCAGAGGCAGCGGCUUCGCCGCCCUCCUCCCGGCAGUCCGGCAGUUCCCCUCUCUCUCUCUCUCUCUCUCUCUCUCUCUUUCUCUCUCCCUCUCUCCCCCUCUCCCUUCUCUUCUCUCCCUCGGAUAUGCUCACGCCGCCGCCGCUGUGCAUGCACAGACGGCGGCUUCGGCCUCCUUCGCGCCUUGCAUCGCUGGCCACCGCCACAGCCGAGACCGCUGCCCCUCGCUGAACUCCCGAAAGAAUCGGGGUGUGGGGCUGUCCUCAACGUCUCCGGGCUGCCAAAGAGCCAUCGCCGAAAAUCCAGCAAAUUCUUAUUCUAGAGAUAAGUUUUUUUUUUCAUUCUCUGUAGUUCAUUUAGGUGGUGGGAUUUUAGUUGUUGUAUUUACUGAAUUUGACGAACUUGGAUAUUAGGGAUCAUAUUGCUUGGUAUUGUUGGUGUCACUUAGGCAUAUUCUAGAUUUAAGAUGUAUGCAUGAUUCGUGUGUAAAGAGAAGGGGGUUCUUGGAGUUUACCUUUUGGUGUGAAAAAGUGUUGGUGGGUUGAGGACUUGAUCCUACAAUUACCUGCAACUCUCCCUCCUCUGUUCUAUGUGAAGUUUUUUUUAAAAGUUUGAUUAUGAUGUGGCUAGGUGAAAAUGAUUGUAUGUAUAUAUACAUAUACAUUAAAAAAAUGGCAAGUGGCGUAGAGAUGCAAGUGGCGUAAAGAUGCAUUAUUCUUGUCAGAGAAUAAUCAUUUCUUCUGCUAUGCAAUUUAAUGUAGGCAUUAAAUGCUACGACUUCACUUAUCCUUGCAUUAAAUGUUACGGAUUCACUUAUCCUUUCAGGAUUUGCUCAUAUCUCUUUUUUUUAUUUAAUUAUUAAAGUAAUUAUUUGAGUAUUUAUUUAAUUGUUUAUUUAAUUGGUGUAGGUAUAAUCGGUUCAAGUUCGUGGCCGUCCGCGUUGAAGUACCCGAUUUUCUUAGAACGUAGGAUGUAUUAAAUUUUGUUGGAUGUGUCGGACAUCAAGAUUUUGGUUUUGGGAUUUAUUUAUUUAAAUUUAUUGUAUUCAUAUAAGUGUAUUAUAUAUUUGUGGAUUCUAUUCA